UAAAAUGACAAACAUGUCUCUUUAAGACCCAAUAACUAGUAAAAUUGUCAAAUGUAAAAGGUAUCUCCAGAAAACCUCCAGGUCACUGUCAAACGUCUGGUCUGUUGAAACUCUAUCAAUCCCUUCGGUCAACAAAGAAGCUGGGAGGCUUUAAACCACACACAGCCAUCUGGCCUGGUCACUGACAGACCGACAAGUAGCCACUUUAGAUGGCAGGAUUAUUGGGCUGUGACCGCCAUGGCAGGAUGCUCAGGGGACUGUGUCCCGCCACACAGGGAACCUGAUCGGUGGGGGGUAGACUGCAAAGAGUGCUGGCCUGCAGCAGCAGAAUGGGCGCCUGGGGAGCAAGCGCUCACAAUGGGCCUCUCAGCACCCAGACAGCAACACACACAGAAUGAGGAGGACAGAGAGGGGGAGCAGGACGAGGAGAAGGAGUAUUGUUGUCACCAUACAGAUGUCCAGGUUGAAGGUCAUGACAGGGUCUGUCCAGCUCCAGGAAACAGGGAAUGGAGGGACCCAGCGGGGCUGCUGAGCUCCUGUGGUCUGUAUGGCCUGAGGGGGUCAAAGGUCGCAGGAGACACAACAGGAGAGCACUCAGUCCUGACUCAAAGCUACAAAGAGCCUCUCGUAGCUCAGACAGAAAGACAGGUACGCCAUCCGUCAACACUUCACUCACGAUUUCUCAUAUGUCAACAUGUUAGCAAGCUAACUCUGUGGACUUCACCUAUCAUAACCUGACAAAUCUAACUGACUGUAGCUGCUUCCAGUAAUGUUCAAAGUAAGAGUCGGGUUUUCAUCUUCUCUUUUGUUGUUUGUCUCUGAAUUCAGAGGUGGCAAUGGGCUUCAGAGCCUCUGACCUAGCUAACCAUGUUUGGUCUCCUCAUCGAGAACAGAGGGAGCUCGAAAAGAAACAUUCCCUUUCUAAUCCCCAAACACUUCCCUAAACGUUUCACCAGCAUUGUGUGCAGGUUCUGUGCACACUGUUCAGCAGAGGUCCAGCUCUUUAAUGGGAUUGGCUAGCGGGAAGCUUUAAUGUAUAGCCUCUGCUAAAGCUAUUAGUGUGAAUACUGGUACGGUCUGGGCCCACUAAGCAGAUAAGUUUAAAUAUGAAGGCAACAUAAGAAAACCUAACCCUAGCUUAAAUAUCCCUAAAUAUACUAUCCUGGUUUCAGCUUAGGGUGACCAAAUGUCUGUGUAAAUAUGGCAGUAAAUCUAUAUGCUAAAGCCUAAUAUAUGAAAUAAUAGUCUAUUAAUAAAAAUCGAUAAAAAUAAAAAUAAAGAAUAAAAAUAAAAAAAAUAACAUGCAAAUAUAAGGUGCCCCUGAGGAGACAUGGUCGGGUUACUUAGUUUUGUCGGAAUGUGAUAUUAUGUCAUGGCCACCAGAUCAUUUUGAUCAGGUAACAACAUCCUUAUUUCUUGGCCUCGAGAUGAUAUGUUGAGAUGAAAGAUAUCCAUUUCUUGUGGUCACGACUUCUUAUGUUGAGGAAACAACAUGUUUUUUUCUUGUGGCCACGAGUUUAAUGUUUAAACAAACCUUCAUGACCAUAGCAACCCAGGAUCAUCAGAGAUGGAUUCAUUAAUGUUUUAUUUUGAAUUAAGAAAUUAUUAUCUUAUUUAUUAUAGAAAUUGUUAAAUGAUUCAAUUAAUAUAUUAACCAGGCCUUGGCUACCGGGCUGUAUUGCAUGCAAUUGCCAGCAUUCAAAUGAAGUUUCAAGUGUGAAAAAAAUAAAAAUAAUAAUAAUUCUCUCUCUCUCUCUCUCUCUCUCUCUCUCUCUCUCUAUAUAUAUAUAUAUAUAUGCAAUGAAUGGAUAUAUGCAAUGGAAUACAAUUAUGAUUGAGAGAUCAAAACAAACAAACAUUCCUCAAAAGCCUAAUGAUCAUAUUUGAUACUCAGUAAACCUAAGUAAACCUAAAUUGCUUCAGUACAGUAAGUGUUCACCUUGAAAUAUUAUUAACAAUAUAAAUGUCAUACAGUAUUUACAGUCAUGUUCCACAUGUACUGUACAUACUAUGCACACUGAUAAACAAAAAAUAUUACUACAUAAAUAAAAGUACUACAUAAAUAAGUAAAACAAAUUGAAUUUUUCCAUUAAAUAAAUAAGUUCAGGCAAGAAUAAAAAAAAAAAAAAAAAAAAGUAAGCUAAGCUAAGGAAUAGAGAAUAGAAGGGCCGGGAGUGGCUCGCAGAUCUAGACCAUAAAUCUGAUGAAUGUGAGGGGAAUGGACCAUCCAGCUGCAUUGCAGAUGUCCUGCAUGGACACACCUGACAAGAAGGCCUUGAUAGCGCCCUUACUGCGGGUUGAGUGAGCCUUGACUCCCAAUGGUGAGGGGAGAUCAGAGGACUCAUAGGCAAGAGUAAUUGCAUUAGGUCACACUGGACACAUGCAGUUUAGCUUCUGCCAGCAGUACGAUAGGCUGGGGGGAACUGGGGGAACCUUCGGGACAUACCAUGCUCAAGGGUAGAGAAACACUUUGGCCAUGCCGGGCACAAAGUCUUAAUAGGAAGGGGCCACUGAGAGGGCCUGAAGAUCCUCAACUCUCUUUAGAUAAGUGAUAGCUAGAAGAAAGGCAGUCUUAAUCGUGAGAUAGCGAUCAGCGAUUUCUUCAAUAGGCUCGAAAGGAGGCUUACAAAGAGCUUCUAGCACCACAGCCAGGUCCCACGUGGGGACAUGAGAUCGUAACGGAGUCCUCAGCCUCAGCGCACCACAGAGGAAACGUAUAACCAGGGGGUAUCUGCCCACUUACUAGCCACCGAGAGGGGCGCGGUAGGCCGCAAUGGCCGCCACAUAGACAUUCAGGGUGGAGUGAGUCAACGCUGCAGAGAAACGGGACUGCAGGAAUUCCAGUACUGUAACAACUGGGCAGUUAACUCGGUUAAAUUGGCGAUCUCCACACCAAGAAGUUUCCUCGUUGAGGGAGCUCUGGAUUGGAGGAUGGUCUCAACAACCUCGGUUGAGAGACCAGAUGCUAAGGGAUGUGUCCCCUCAGGGGCCACAGCCAUAACAAUCAUAGCUCCGGGCGGGGGUGAAAUAUAGUGCCCUCCGCCCGCGAGAGGAGAUCCCUCCUGAUGGGAAUCUCUCAUGGAGAGCCAUCGAGGAGCAAGAUCAGAUCUGAGAACCAUACUCAGCCCGGUCAGAACAGGGCUACUAAUAGAAGACAAACUCUGUCCCGGCACACUCUCGCCAGAACUCCUGGGAGCUGAGCGAUCGGGGAAAAGCAUACAGAUGAAGCCUCAGCCAAGUCUGCACCAUAGUAUUCAGUCCCAGAGGAGCUGGAUGAACUAGAGAGAACCAAAGGGGACAGUGCGAUGUCAUCCAAGUCGCAAACAGAUCCAUAUAGUCCAUAUCUGCUUCACCACCUCGGGCUGAAGCCUCCAUUCCCUGGGCCUCUGCCCCUGCCUCGACAGGAUGUCUGCUCCCACAUUUAUAUGCCCAGGAAUAUGUACUGCUCUUAGCGAAAGGAGUUUGAGAGUUGAUAUGCCAUGUCAGAUGGCAACCACCCCACAGACCGCAGGCAGGGUGGCUACUCAUGACCGCACCCCAACCAGUGAGGGACACGUCAGUCACUAGCAUUACACGGUGACAAGGAGCUCCCAGCACCAGGCCCUGAGACAAAAACCAAGGCUUCCUCUACAUGUCUAAGGCUCACAGGCAUCACCGCGUGACCUUGAUCAUGUGAAGUGGGUUUCCCCUUGGGGAGAACCCCUUGGUCUUGAGUCACCACUGUAGAGGUCUCAUGUACAGCAGGCCAAGAGGUAAAACGUUAGAUGCAGCUGCCAUUAACCCCAAUAGUUUCUGAAUCUGCUUGACAGUGAGAAACUGGCCUUAUCAGACUCUCUUGACUGAGGUGAGGAUCAACUCGAUACAAGAAGGGGACAUAAUUCCUGCAUCGUGGUUGAAUCUCACACCACGCCCAGAUAAGUGGUCCUCUGUAGAGGAAGAAAGCACACUUUUCUUGGCAUUUAAUCUCAACCAAAACAUUUUCAUAUGGGCAAGAAUGACAUCUCGAUGUCGAAGAACCAUCUGCUCUGAUUGAGCCAAAAUCAACCAAUCGUCAAUAUAAUUUACUAUGUGGAUUCCCUGGAGUCGCAGGGGACCCAGAACAGCAUCCACACACUUCGUGAAAGUUCGGGGUGAGAGUGCUAGACCACAAGGAAGAACUCUAUAAUGUCAAGCUUCGCCCCUGAAAGCCAACUUUAGGAACUUCCUGUGAUUGGGAAGGAUGGAGAUAUGAAAAUAAGCAUCUUUUAGAUCUAUCGUGACAAACCAGUCCUCUGACCUGAUCUGAGAUAUGACUUGCCUGAUAGUAAGCAUCUUGAACUUCAGUCGCAUGGCUGAGCAGUUUAACUGACACAGAUCUAAAAUCGGACGUAACCCCCCAUCCUUCUUUGGAACUAUAAAGUAUCGGCUGUAGAACCCGGACUCUUUGUCGUGAGGAGGGACCACCUCGAUGGCCUUCUUCCUCAAGAGGGAAUUUACUUCUUGUUCCAAUAUCAGGGCCUGCUCAUAGUCCACUAGUGUGGGAAAGGCCAGGUUGAAAGGUGGCGGCGGAGCGCCGAACUGAAUUCGAUAACCUUUCUCUACAGUCUGCAGGACCCAAUGAGACACAUUUGGCAGUAGCUUCCACACUGCUGAAUAGUCUACUAAGGGAACCAAUCUCUCAAGAUCUACUUUGAGCUGCUAGCUCAGUGCCCUGAAGCAGAG
ensembl:lncRNA